rnacentral:rRNA from 1 species
CUACGGGCUGCUCCAGUGGGGAAUAUUGGACAAUGGGGAAACCCUGAUCCAGCAAUGCCGCGUGUGUGAAGAAGGCCUGCGGGUUGUAAAGCACUUUCGGUUGGGAGGACUGCUUCUAGCACUAAUAUUGUUGGAAGUUGACGUUACCUUCAGAAGAAGCACCGGCUAACUCCGUGCCAGCAGCCGCGGUAAUACGGAGGGCGCAAGCGUUAAUCGGAAUUACUGGGCGUAAAGCGCGCGUAGGCGGCUAGAUCAGUCGGGUGUGAAAGCCCCGGGCUUAACCUGGGAACUGCAUCCGAUACUGUCUAGCUUGAGUACAGGAGAGGAGAGUGGAAUUCCACAUGUAGCGGUGAAAUGCGUAGAUAUGUGGAGGAACACCAAUGGCGAAGGCAGCUCUCUGGCCUGAUACUGACGCUGAGGUGCGAAAGCGUGGGGAGCAAACAGGAUUAGAUACCCCCGUAGUC